rnacentral:lncRNA from 1 species
GGAGGAGUCAUCGCAAGAGCGUGGCCUUGGCGCGGGCGCAGCGCGACGCGAGGGCAAGGCCUCGGCAGUUAGCACGGGUGGGCGCAGGCCGAAGGCCGUCGCACGCGCUUGGAGGCGUCUUGGCCUCUUCCUAGCGCUUGUGUGCGGGGAUCAUGGUUUGAAGUGUUGGUAAGUGCUAUCAAUUUGCAAGAAGGGAAAUCGGAAAAGAACACCUCACAAUAUGCGAUUUGCUGAGUUCUUUAUCUUCUUGACUCAACACUUGAUGUAGCGUGCCGCUGGUUUCUGAUCUCAAUUCCGUCGAAGUCAGACGUUGUGAGGCAUCGGGGCCGAGGGCCGUGGCCGGCGAACGCCGCUGCGCGUACCUGGGCGUCCCCUCACUAUGAAGGGCCUAGCCAAGGGCUUGGUCGUGUACGCAGUUGCCGGUUUUCUUCACGCCGUUAUGCCCGUGCGCCGUCGAUGAUGCCUGGAACAAUUCGCUCCGCUGAGAGCGUGCUGAUAACGUGUUAGAAGGUAAAAAUGUAAAAAAAGACAGACAUGUAAAAGUGAAUCAGUUAAUCUUUAUUGAUGAUGGAUACAUCUAUAUAUAGAGUUACAAAAGACACGAAGUGAAAAGGUGUCUGUUCAAGAAGGCACCAGGAACCGACGUCGGUUUUCAUAUGGAAACUGCCAUCUAUUCCUUAAGCAUGGAUUAAUAGGAUUAGUUAAAUCCUAACAUAAUCUUCUUCAACUCUGCCUCCACACGAGCGAUGCAACGAACUGUGGCAG